rnacentral:tRNA from 1 species
GAAAAUUUAGUUAAUUUUUAUAACAUCAGUUUGUCAUACUGAAAUAGCUUAAUUAUAAGCAUUUUUCU